GGAACCAGUUUGGCUGCAAAAUUAUUAAGAGAAAGUGGUGUAACGCUUUUCAAAGUAAGAGAAGAAACUGUAAAUUUACAUGGAAAAUCAGACAUGUAUAUUUUCAGCCCUGAACAUCCUCCAUUGACCAAAGCAGCUCAGAAGGCCAUUGAAUGGGCAAUCAAUGAGAAACUAAAGUCAGGGGAAACAGGAGAAGUGACAACAUUGCAUUUGCUUCUGGGAAUAUGGGCGUAGAAGGAAUCAGCUGGUCAUAAAAUAAUGGCUAAACUUGGUUUCGAUGAUGAUAAAGCUAAAGAGCUUGCUAAAACCAUGGACAAAGAAAUUAUUUUGAGCUCAAGAAGGGAGUUUAAAGAACCGUAUACAGGUUUUCUGCUUCAUCCCUCUGUUUGUUGGUUGUUUAGAAUGAUUCGUUUGCAACAGAACAUGAAGCAAAGUGAAAUUUGUAAAAGCUAUAAAGAAAAUUCAAAAGGAUGACCAUUUUAUUAGUUGGAAAUUGGAAUAAAACUUUCAUUUUUUAUUAUUUUCUGAUUGAAGUUUGUAACAAACUCACACCUGAGGCCUGACACUAGCCAUUUGUGAUGAUGGUAAAAAACAAAAGUGUUUGCUGGA